rnacentral:rRNA from 1 species
GACGAACGCUGGCGGCGUGCUUAACACAUGCAAGUCGAACGGAAAGGCCCUGCUUUUGUGGGGUGCUCGAGUGGCGAACGGGUGAGUAACACGUGAGUAACCUGCCCUUGACUUUGGGAUAACUUCAGGAAACUGGGGCUAAUACCGGAUAGGAUCUCCUGCUGCAUGGUGGGGGUUGGAAAGUUUCGGCGGUUGGGGAUGGACUCGCGGCUUAUCAGCUUGUUGGUGGGGUAGUGGCUUACCAAGGCUUUGACGGGUAGCCGGCCUGAGAGGGGGACCGGCCACCUUGGGACUGAGAUACGGCCCAGACUCCUACGGGAGGCAGCAGUGGGGAAUAUUGCACAAUGGGCGGAAGCCUGAUGCAGCAACGCCGCGUGCGGGAUGACGGCCUUCGGGUUGUAAACCGCUUUCGCCUGUGACGAAGCGUGAGUGACGGUAAUGGGUAAAGAAGCACCGGCUAACUACGUG